CAGCCGCCGCGGUAAUACGGAGGAUCCAAGCGUUAUCCGGAUUUAUUGGGUUUAAAGGGUGCGUAGGCGGCUUAUUAAGUCAGGGGUGAAAGACGGUGGCUCAACCAUCGCAGUGCCUUUGAUACUGAUGAGCUUGAAUACACUUGAGGUAGGCGGAAUGUGACAAGUAGCGGUGAAAUGCAUAGAUAUGUCACAGAACACCAAUUGCGAAGGCAGCUUACUAAGGUGCAAUUGACGCUGAGGCACGAAAGCGUGGGGAUCAAACAGG
rnacentral:rRNA from 1 species